UGGUGGAGUUCACCUCGGUAGGGGUAGAACAGCGGGGCUCUCCCUGACCUCUCCUCUCCUUCCUUCUCUCUCACAUCCUUCCCCUAAUUUCUUUGCUUUCUCGAUCCGCAGCAGCAGCGUCUCCAUGGAUGUCAGCAGCAGUAGCAGCGUCUCCAUGGAUGCAGCAGCGUGACGGCUCGCCGGGGUGGAUCCCCUCCUCCGCCCCCAUCCUCCACCUCUCCGGCCGCCCAGUUGCAACGCAGUAGCGGGCCACCUGAAGCAGGUCCUUCAUACCUUCCAUGGACGAGCUCGACGGAGACGCUGUCCAGCCCGACCACGGCCACGACUACCUCACACACAAAGUCCCUUCCUGCUCCUCCACCUUCUUCCAUGGAUCAAGAUGCUACAUACACUGCUGCUGCUGUUUGUCAAAUGAAUGAACGAACCUUCCUUACUUACUUAAUUUGACAAAUAAACCAACCUUCCUCUAGAUCAAGCAAAGAAUUAAUGAAUGAAUUUGCAGCUUCGCUGCUAAAAUGAAUGGCCAACUUCUCUGAGGUUUAUUUUGGUCAAUGAAUUUUUAUACAAAUGAAUCAGACUGUCAUUUGGUUUUUUAUUAGUCACGCCUGCCGGAGUGGCUAUUACUUUGCUGCAGCAGAGUUUGCAACGGAUGCUUGCUUCCUGAGGUGAGUGACCACCUAUGCAUCGUGACGGCAGUGGAUGAUGGCAUCACCUACAAAACCCCAAUGUUGAGCUCUCUCCCUACUCGCUCUGAGCCAUACCCGUCAAGACAAGGUUAUGUCAUGCUAGGGUUGUUCACUUGCCAUGUACUACUACAAGAAUUGUUGCUGUCCUCUGUGUAUUUUCCCCUUACUGUACAUGUUAUUAUGGUUUAUUACGUGCUCGAUUGAUGAUCUGCCAUUCAUGUGAUCACUACUUCAGUUAGUGUUCUAAGUGCUUAACUAACUGUGCCUCAAACGGCGGUUGCUCUUCUUCGUCUUGGACCAGAACCCCGGCGGCUGGAUAAGAGCAUAGGAGCAAGCAGAGCAGAUGGUUUAGCCGGCCUCCUCCUCUCUCUCCCUUCCCUUGCUUUCACUCGCUUUUGGCACCCUCACCGCCAUUGGUCGCAUACCCAGAUAAUUGAUGAAAAAACUACGAUAAAGAAAUAUCGUCGCCGUCUCAUCAUCUUCGUCGACAUGAGCAUCUCUGUCGGACCAUGCACCCAUGCCUUCCCAUCUACCUUGCUGGAGUGGCCGCCUCCUGGUUGAGGUAUUGCGCUGCAUCUACCGUCCUCUGCUGACACCGCUGCCGCUGCCCGGGUCCCUCCUCUCGCUCCUGUCGAGGUUGAGAUGAGCACCGUGAGGAUGAGGAGGUCAGUGGCUGAUAUAGAGAGCUCCUCGAAUGGGGAAGUAGCAGUCUUGGAGGAACUCAAAGAUGUCAUGUUUCAGUUUUGAUGGGAAUCGCUACAACAACAAUUAGAAGAGACCACAUUUCAGGUUCAGAACCAAUUUCUAGGGGUAUGUACAAGUUGUUUUUAUUCUAUCUUGGUUUGAAAUUGGUUUUAGAUUGGUGAAUUAGCAUAGCAUAAUGAAUGUUGAGCUUCAUUUCAUCUACAUUUGGUUCUGAACAUGUGUGCAUUUAAGAAACUUUGUAUUCUUCCCUAUUUUUAAGAGCCUACAAAAAGACUACAAAAUGGUGAUAGGCAUGUCCAGAAUGUUGAAAGCUUCAUUUUGGUCCAUUAGAUAGUUUAUAGGUUUGUCACUAGAGGUUGGCUGUCACAUAGGGUUGCUGCUUGUGAAAUGAAUGCUCCAUAGUUCUCCAUGCAACAAAGCUAAUUACUGAAUCUGCAAUGCAUGCUUAUUUUUGGCAGAAGCUUAGUGGAUCAAUUAGCAUUGUGUAAAGUCUGUCUAAGCUCCCAUCUCUCUUCUUUCUAUAAACUGGAUGGCCAGGAUAGAUUUCUUAAUACCAUUUUGGGAUUGUUUGAGCACUUGACAGCGUUAACAGGUUUACCAUUUCUCAUUUCUUAAUAGCAUUUUGGGAUCGUUUGAGCACUAUACCAAUGUUUUGCUUUCUGCUAAACUCAAAGAUAUUGUAUACUUGAAUGUUUUUCAAUUGCCAAUACAUGCCAAAUUCUGCAUAUUCCUUAAGGUGACACUGAUUUUGGUUUUACUUGACAUCUGCAUCCUUUUAUAUCAUAGUCGAGAAAUUGAUUAAAAUAUUGUAUUGGUUCCAAAAUAAUAUUUUCUUUGAAACAGGGUGAUAAUUUCAGUAUCACUCAACAUGUAUCAUUAUCUGUAGAAAAUAUAAAGGUACAUGCACUCAUCUGUGUUAUCUACAUGACCUAAUUGUAAUAGAUAACCAGCGAUUUAAGAUUUGAGCCAUUGUGGCUACUUUUAUUA